rnacentral:tRNA from 2 species
UGGGGCGUAGCCAAGCGGUAAGGCAGCGGCCUUUGGAGCCGCCAUUCGGAGGUUCGAUCCCUCCCGCCCCAGCAA